rnacentral:tRNA from 1 species
GGUGGGUUGGCUCAGUGGUUAGAGCGUAGGUCUCAUAACCGAAAGAUUGCGGGAUCGAAUCCCGCUAGAGGCUG